ACAAACGCUACUUAAAAUUCCAUCGUCAAGAUACUGGCUUGGUGGGACUGCCCUGGUGGUUAAGAAUCCACGGCUUCCAGUGCACGGGGUUCAGCUUGCAUCUCGGGGUGGCGCUAGUGGUAAAGAAUCCUCCUGCCAAUGCAGGAGAUGUAGGAACUGCUGGUUCAACUCCUGCGUCAGGAAGACCCCGCAGGAGAUCAUGGCAACCUAUUCCAGUAUUCUUGCCUGGAAAAUGCAUGCCAUGGACAGAGGAACCUGGCGGCCUACAGUCCAUGGGGUCGCAAAGUCGGAAAGGACUAAAGAGACUUAGCACGCGUGCACGUGGAACCAAGAUCCCACAAGCGCUGCGGCCGGGAAAAAAAAAAAAGAUACUAGCUUAGUAAUAAGACACAAGAGAUGUUUUCCAGCCAAAAUGGAUAACGUGAUUUUUAGUCAGUCCACUUCACAUUUAAAAUAGUUUUUCUCUGAUGACUUACAUCUAUAUUAAGGACUGAGAACAUUAAAAUAAUAUUUAUGUAUAUAACCUGUCAAAUACAUUUUAUAAGUUUUAGCUAAAAUAACUUGCAAAAUAAUAGGGCCAUGCUGAUAAUAUGAAAUAUUUUUAUUUUCAAAUAGUUCAUAACUAUAAGUAAUUGGAUGUUAUAUAAAGUCUAAUAAAAGCAAAAAGUUGUUGUCAGUGGGGGCAUUAACACGUUACUUGUCAUAAAAGGGAUCUAUUUUCUGAAACAAGAACCCAGUGUAUUUUGAUGUCAAGGUUGAAUUUUCACUAUUCUUUCUGAUUAUUAUAUAAGCUAGUCUUCAAAGCAAGAAGAUCUGAAGUGCUAAUUACUCGGAUGUUCAGAAUGCUGAUAAAAACCACAGUGCCAAGAUCUUCUUAAGAUGACAUACACCUACACACGAUCCAGCCAUUUGUCCGUGGGAAUUUCGCCACUUCCAUCUACUGGAUGCUGUGAAUGUAUUCCACAUUGGAAACCACCCAAAUGCCCCUUAACAGGAGGCUGGAUAAGUCCAUGAUGGUACAUGCAUAUACCAGAUACUAUUCAACAAGAGGGAAUGAAUUAUGGAUACAUGCCACCACAGGGAUAAAUCUCAAAAGCAUUACUCUAAAUGAAAAAAGCCACACUUGAAAGACUACCACUAUAUGAUUCUAGAUAGGAAGUUCUAGAACAGGCAAAAGCAAUAGAGUGAUAAAAGUCAGGGAGUGGUUACCCAUGGGAUGUGACUGUAGGGGACAGGAAAGGGACUUCUCUUUCUGAAUCUGGAUACCAGUUAUGCAAGUGUGUUCAGACUGAAA
rnacentral:lncRNA from 1 species